UAUGUGGGCGUGUACGGAGCCGCCUCCUCCUCGAACGUCACACAGCGUACUGGGAGUGAGAAAGAGCAGCUCAGCAAACAGGCAGAGCCCAACUUGUCACCCCAACAAAGCCCUUUUCAAACGGGGUCACCGGAACUGGCAGGGAGCCGGGUGUCCCCAUCCAACUUUGUACUGUAUCGUGUGUGACGAGCCGGGGGAAGAGCAGGCUGCGGGCUCCCGUAUGUCGGACUGUGUGUGGAUUGGCCGGUGCUCAGGGAUCGGGAAGGCAUCCACCACAUCCUGAGCUGACAAAAACUUCCCCUGAGCUAUGAACUGGAACUUCUUCAUUGUCUUUGUUGUUUUUCUGGGUUAAUGUGAAGUUUGAAGAAAGUCCAUCAACCUCAAAUCUCAUCCCUGCAGUGAUUCUUUCACUACGAUUCACAGAAGUGGGUCCAGCACAUGUAUUGAAAUGGAUAGAUCAUUUACGCAUUCAUCUGU